rnacentral:rRNA from 1 species
UACAGGGGGGGCAAGCGUUGUUCGGAAUUACUGGGCGUAAAGGGCCAGUAGGCGGCCAACUAAGUCGGACGUGAAAUCCCCCGGCUUAACCGGGGAACUGCGUCUGAUACUGGAUGGCUUGAGUUCGGGAGAGGGAUGCGGAAUUCCAGGUGUAGCGGUGAAAUGCGUAGAUAUCUGGAGGAACACCGGUGGCGAAGGCGGCAUCCUGGACCGAUACUGACGCUGAGGAGCGAAAGCCAGGGGAGCAAACGGG